rnacentral:snRNA from 1 species
GGAUGUGAGGGCGAUCUGGCUGUGACAUCUGUCACCCCAUUGAUUGCCAGGGUUGAUUCGGCUGAUCUGGCUGGCUAGGCGGGUGUCCCCUUCCUCCCUCACUGCUCCAUGUGCAUCCCUCCCGAAGCUGCGCGCUCGGUUGGAGAGGACCGUUCUUCGGUCAAGGGUAUAGGAGUAGCUGCGCUCCCCUGCUAGAACCUCCAAACAAGCUCUCAAGAAUCAAAGUGUAAUGCUUCCCAUUGGAAAGCCGUUGAAGUUUUGUACCAUGAGUACAUCAACAUGAAGCUUCGAGAAUUUUCCAUAGGCU